rnacentral:rRNA from 1 species
GAUGAACGCUGGCGGCGUGCCUAAUACAUGCAAGUCGAGCGAACAGACGAGGAGCUUGCUCCUCUCACGUUAGCGGCGGACGGGUGAGUAACACGUGGAUAACCUACCUAUAAUACGGGUAUAACUUCGGGAAACCGGAGCUAAUACCGGAGAAGAUAUUGAACCGCAUGGUGCAAUAGUGAAAGACGGUUUUGCUGGCAGUUCUAGCUGGUUCCCCGCCGCAUUGGGUGGUUGGUAAGUUAACGGCUUACCAAGGCAACGAUGCGUAGACGAACUGAGGGGGUGGUAGCCCACACUGGAACUGAGCCAGGGUCAAGACGACUACGGGAGGCAGCAGUCGCGAACGUGACGCAACAGGCGAAAGCCUGACGGAGCGGCGGCACGUGAGAGAUAGAGGUCUUGGGAUCGUAAAGCUGUGUUAUUGGGGAAAAACCACUGUGUCAGUAACUAUGGACGUCUUGACGGUAACUAGUAAGAAAGCCACGGCUAACUACGUG